UGAUGUGGGUACAGUGACUCCUCUUC
rnacentral:piRNA from 1 species